rnacentral:rRNA from 1 species
AGAGCGAACGCUGGCGGCAGGCCUAACACAUGCAAGUCGAGCGCCCCGCAAGGGGAGCGGCAGACGGGAGAGUAACACGUGGGAACGUACCCUUUGGUUCGGAACAACACAGGGAAACUUGUGCUAAUACCGGAUAAGCCCUUACGGGGAAAGAUUUAUCGCCAAAGGAUCGGCCCGCGUCUGAUUAGCUUGUUGGUGAGGUAACGGCUCACCAAGGCUACGAUCAGUAGCUGGUCUGAGAGGAUGAUCAGCCUCACUGGGACUGAGACACGGCCCAGACUCCUACGGGAGGCAGCAGUGGGGAAUAUUGGACAAUGGGCGCAAGCCUGAUCCAGCCAUGCCGCGUGGAUGAUGAAGGCCCUAGGGUUGUAAAGUCUUUCGACGGGGAAGAUAAUGACGGUACCCGUAGAAGAAGCCCCGGCUAACUUCGCGCCAGCAGCCGC